GAAAAUUAUAUUAAUUGUUCUUUUUAAAAAAAAUAGUUUUGUUUUUAGUAAUUUUUAUAAAAUAAAUUUUUUAUUUAUAGUUAAAAGUACUGUGAAGGAUAUAUAUAAAUUAAUUAGAAGUAUUUAUUUUUAAUGUACCUUUUGUAUCAGGGUUUAUUAAUUUGUAAAAUAUAUAUAUUUUUUUCCCGAAAUUUUAAGAUAUACAACAUAAUUAUAGUUUAUGUUAUAAUAUUAUUAGUAAUUUUGUUGUAGUGAAUAUAUUUUAUUCAAUUAAAAAUAUCUGGUUGUUUGAGAAUUAAGUUUAAUUUAUGAUUAAUUUUUGAUUAAAUUUUAUUAAUUUUUUUAAUCAAAAAUUGAUUAGGAUAAUCUAGUCAAUACUUCUAAAAUAUUUUUAUUUAAAAUUUUGUGUAGGAUUAAUAAUAUCCAUCAUUUAUUUUUUUAUAAUUAAUUUUUGUAUAUUAUUAAUUUAAUAUUUAUUUAGUUUUUUAUCAAAUUGAAUAAUUUAAUUAUUAACUUAUUUUAAUCAUGAUAAAAUUAGUAUUUUAUAUAUAUAAUAUAUAGUAAUUCGGCAAAUAUUGUUUUCACCUGUUUAACAAAAACAUGUUCUUUUGUUUUAAAUAAAAGAUUUAACCUGCUCUAUGAUUAUUAAAUGGCUGCAGUAUUUUGACUGUACAAAGGUAGCAUAAUAAUUUGUCUUUUAAUUGAAGACUGGUAUGAAUGGUUGUAUGAGAAAUAUACUUUCUUUAUUUUAUAUAAAAAAAUUGAUUUUUUAGUUAAAAAGCUAAAAUAUUUUUAUAGGACGAGAAGACCCUAUAGAACUUUACUUUAAUAUAAAUAUACUAUUUAUAUAUUUUUAAAAUUUUAUAUUUUUAUUAAAGUUUUGUUGGGGUGACAAAAAAAAUUAUAUAACUUUUUUUAUUAAAUCAUUAAUUUAUGUUUUUUUGAUCCUUUAUUAUGGAAAAUAAGAUUAAGUUACCUUAGGGAUAACAGCGUUAUUUUUUUGGAGAGUUCAUAUUGAUGAAGAAGUUUGCGACCUCGAUGUUGGAUUAAAAUAAGUUACAGGGGUAUAAUAUUGUACACUAGGUCUGUUCGACCUUUAAAUUUUUACAUGAUCUGAGUUCAGACCGGCGUGAGCCAGGUCGGUUUCUAUCCUUAAUUUUAUAUAAAAUUUUAGUACGAAAGGACCAAAUUUUAGGAGUAAUUUUUGUUUAUUGUUUAUUUUUAAAAUUC
rnacentral:rRNA from 1 species